UUGACCUCGGAUCAGGUAGGGAUACCCGCUGAACUUAAGCAUAUCAAUAAAGCGGAGGAA
rnacentral:rRNA from 3 species